UACGAAGGGGGCUAGCGUUGCUCGGAAUGACUGGGCGUAAAGGGCGCGUAGGCGGUUCGUACAGUCAGACGUGAAAUUCCCGGGCUCAACCUGGGGGCUGCGUUUGAUACGUACGGGCUUGAGUUCGGAAGAGGGUCGUGGAAUUCCCAGUGUAGAGGUGAAAUUCGUAGAUAUUGGGAAGAACACCGGUGGCGAAGGCGGCGACCUGGUCCGAUACUGACGCUGAGGCGCGAAAGCGUGGGGAGCAAACAGG
rnacentral:rRNA from 1 species